AUCAUAAACCUUGACAUUCUACGUAUGUCCGCCAGAGAACUACAAGUGAAAAACUUAAAACUCAAAGGACUUGACGGUGUCCCACACCGACCUAGAGGAGCCUGUCCUAUAAUCGAUACCCCACGAAGCACCUCACCCUCCCUAGAAUAAUUCAGCCUAUAUACCGCCGUCGUCAGCCUACCUUAUGAGAGUCAACAAGUAGACGAAACCAUCAACCAUAAAAACGUCAGGUCAAGGUGUAGCACAUGGGAGGGAAAGAGAUGGGCUACAUUUUCUAACAAGAAAAAACUAACAGCAAAAUGAAAAAGCUGCUCUACGGCGGAUUUAGAAGUAAGCUGAGUAAGCAAGCUCAA
rnacentral:rRNA from 1 species